rnacentral:misc_RNA from 1 species
UGUUACUUACCAUCAUGAAGUUACUAGUGACAUUAUCAAUGCUGUUUUGUAUAUGGCUUGGAAGUUCCGUUUCAGGUCAGACCACCACCUCGACCCAAGAUAAAGACAGGUGUAGUAUUAAUGUGUUCGAUAAUUGCACAGAUGAAUUUACAUCCCUUGUGUAUAACGUCACAGAAAACGAAGUAAACUUUGAUAAAGAUGCUCUACUGAACUUCUACUGCAGCUCUAAUAUUACGGAGAUAAUACAAUGCUUGAAGGACCAUUUAGAUCCGACGUGUGGCCCAGAUACUGCAGCCUACACCAUAAAUAGAACACUGGCUAGUAUACCUCCUGAGUUUUCAUACGAAAAGUUCUGUCGUAAUGACAGUAAGAAAGACUUUGACGAACUGGUUACAUGCCAAACGUUGUUUCCAAAUGUUAAAGGCUAUGCUGACUGCAUUACUGGUGUAACACUAAAUAAGACCCUUGAUCCUACAGACAUAUGCAACUUUUUGAACAGUACAUUGGGAUGCUCGUACAAAUACACAAAGAUUAUGUGCCCUAAUUCUACGAACGCAUUCAAAGAAUUCACAGCAAUCAACACUGUACCUUGUAAUCUUGAGUUUGAAAAUAGUCCGGAGGCGAUGUCGUGUGACGAUAACAUGGAGAAAGCAUGUUCCGUGGCUUAUAAACCACCUCCAUUUGACAGUACUACUGGUGAAUUUAUAGAAUUUAUAUGUAGCGAACGGAGCCGAGAAUUACAGCAAUGUCUUCGCAAAGUGUUUGCGAUGUGUAAAGACAAAAAUGGUUACAACAUUUCUUCAAUCACUAGCGAUAUUCAACUUUAUGAAACUCAAACGGCCAUGUUUUGUUCCAACAACAAAGAACAAAACGCAUUGAAGAAGUGUCAAGCAAUGUUUCCUAAAGUCAGUGCCUUUCAAGAUUGCGUGACUGGCAAAACUCUGAACAAAACGAUUGACCCAGCUGAUUUGUGCAACUUCCUCCAGAACUCAGUCGGAUGUACUUACAAAUAUACAAAUCUGAUGUGCCCAGAAUCUUUGGACGCAUUAAAUAAAUCUGCUGCUAUUUCAUCUAACUGCCAGCUAAACAUAGAUAAGACUGAAGUUGUCAGCACUUGCGACAAUAACAUGGACCAAGCCUGCAGCGUUGCGUUUAGUCCACCUGUAACCAACGAUCCUGAUGUAUAUGUUGAGUUCAUAUGUAGUGGCCGAGCUGAAGGAUAUUCAGCAUGUGUCCAGAAAGUAGAUAGAUUAUGUGAUUCUGCUAUCAAUGACCUCUCCGCAGUGCUAACAUAUUCUCCGUCCAGCGAAAAUCAAACAGAGAGGAUCAUUUGUGCCGACAAAACAAGUUAUAAAGCUUUUGCAAAAUGUUUGACGAGAUACAGUGGCUCAGACGAAUAUAUUAAGUGUGUAUCAAAAGAGAACUCUAACGACACGUUAUCCAUACGUGCAGCCUAAACUCCAUCCAAAAGAUGUGCCCCUCAAGUGCAGAAUUCUACAAUAAGCUCUUUUACACUGCAUUGGUAGAAUGUAAGAUUAUAUCUGCGACAACCACCUCAGGGACAGUUGAUAUACCAACAACAGUUUCUUCGAGCAGUAAUCUACAAUUAUCAUUUCUGGCGCUUACAUUCCCUGUUUGGUGUGCUUUGGUUCGAGUUUCUUAGGUUUGGCAGGCAGAAGUCAGCACUGUCUGCUGUAAAAAUUAGAUUGUGCGUGAAAACUGAAAACUGUUGCACACAAGGAAUAUAUAUCAGGUGACAUUAAUAAAAGUGACACCUUUGGUGAUGCAUUGUGACGUGAUUUGAAUUUCAAGUGAUAGUGUAAUAUAGAAACACCAGUUCUGAGCAUGAGGUGUCAACAGAAGCAACGUUCAACAUAUCUAGUCAACAUAUAAAACCUUUCUAUCUAUUUGUACCUUUAAAAUACCAGAACUGUAUCAUGUUAAUAGCAUUUCUGUUUAUUGCAAGCAUAGACCUUUUUAUAGGAAGCACCGUUUUAAUGGAUGAACUACAAACUUUCAAAUAAUGACAUUUGCCAAUUUUGUGUACGAAUAUGAAAACUGAAAAUUCUAGUAGCACAGAAUAUAAAGUGUAAAGAUGACCACGUGUGGUAGAAUGUGUAAUUUGUAAAAUAAAAUUUAGAGUAAACGACAGCAGAUACGAAGAGCAGAUGGAGAUCUAAAUUAGACAAAAAUGGCGGGAUACUGCAGAAUGUUGUUUCAAAUGGUCUAGUAACACGAUAACAGUAAAUUGGCCUUAUCAUUGCCAUCAAGUUUGAAACUGCUCAGAGGUGUCUACAAUUGGAAAAGUUGCUAUAUCACUUAAAUCAUAUUGGUGUGACUCUAAAUUCAACAUCAAACAUGUUUGAUAGGUCCCUAAAAAAACGUGAGCAAUACUAGGGUUUGUGUAAUGAGGUGUGGCUUAAAGCGGCGCAACAUUGUCAGUAAAAUACAUUGCGUGCAAUGCUUCCCAGGCAAAUGAUGUAUUUCAUUUACAAAAUAUGAUAUUGUAAACAAUUAAAAGUUAUCAUCCAUGUUUUUGAUAUUAUUUUUAUACGUAAAUAAAAAAUAUGUAAAUAAAAAA